rnacentral:lncRNA from 1 species
UUGUUUCCUCUCCUUCUUACAAAACACGGUCGCUUCUCUCUCUCUUUCUCUCUCUUAUAUAAGCACUGCUUUUUCUUCAUCUUCCUCAUGUACUCGAUCCAAAUUAUUCCAUUUCCUUCUUAUAACAACUCUUUUUUGUUUCUAUUCAUCCGCCUAAAUAAACCAAUAUGCGACCACUUCCGCAUCCAAAACAUGAUUCCUUUUGUUCUAUCUAUACGUAACACUAACAACAAAAUCUGUAAUCAUGGUGAAAAACCUUAAAACGCGUGCGCAACUGAUAUAAAAUGAAGGACAAAACAAAAUGGAGUUAUGGUUUCGAUAUAACAUGCUCGUCCGGCCCAAGACCGAAUCCUGAACCAAAGCUUUCGAUCGACAUCGAGGAAGAACUCCAACCGAACUGACGUCUGUAUCAAUAUUCGCAGCAAAACUUGGUACAAACAAAUGCUUUUUUCAACAAAUAACACCAAAACGGAAGGGGAUCAGAAGUGGAAAUGAAAAAACAUAACUUGAUUCAACAAUAACUGUAAGUCACUUUUUCUCUUCCUUACUCAAUCUUCAAAAUUUCUCUUUAAAGUUUCUUGGUUCACUAACAGUAUAAUGGUUUAUAUCAAAUGUAACAAUUAGGUUUUUUUAAAUGUGCAUAGUUAUUUUGUUGUUGUUCUUGGUGAUGGGUUUUUUUUAUGAUUGUUGUUUUUUUUAAUCUCUUGAUUGUUAUUGUUGGGAUUUUUUUCUUAAAAAAACUGGCCUUCUCUGUUUUUUCGAAAUCCCCUUAUAUAAUGAAAAAAAAUCAAAAUUUUGAAUGGCAUGGGUUGAGUGAAAUGGAAAAGAGUAGAGGAAUCAAUUUUUUUGUCUGAAUUUUUUUGCAAUUUUUAUGAAAUUGGGACUGUUAUGCUAAAACUUGCUACUAUUAUGUAUUGCCUUUUUUAGUUUGACUCUUAUGAUUUGUAUCUUAUUCUAAAAUGGUGUUAACUUAAUGCUCUAUUUUACUACAUGUACAACACAAAAUUCUGCUCCACAAGUGCAGAGGGGUACUAUGGUUGAGGUGUAGAGAUGGUAGCAUGGCCUAAUUUAUUCAAGCCUUGAGAGAUCUACUUCUUUUGGACUUAUUCUCUUUCCUUUUUAAUGUAAUUUGUUACUGUGAAAACUUGU